rnacentral:rRNA from 1 species
CCUACUACCCUCCCGUGUUGCGUCGUCGUCCCUACCGACGACCUCGUAGGUCUACGCGUAACGAACAGUGCUAGCGUCGGUAGCUUCUGAAGCUUAUUGGUGGCAGCUACGACACUAUUAGACGCCUCGGAGGUAGCGCAGUAAAGUACAAUAGAUAUACGGAGGGCCCGCACAAGCGGUGGAGCAUGUGGUUAAUUCGAAGCAACGCGAAGAACCUUACCAGGCCUUGACAUGCAGAGAACUUUCCAGAGAUGGAUUGGUGCCUUCGGGAACUCUGACACAGGUGCUGCAUGGCUGUCGUCGACGCGGCCG